rnacentral:rRNA from 1 species
AACGAACGCUGGCGGCAUGCCUAACACAUGCAAGUCGAACGAGAUCUUCGGGUCUAGUGGCGCACGGGUGCGUAACGCGUGGGAAUCUGCCCUUUGGUUCGGAAUAACAGUUGGAAACGACUGCUAAUACCGGAUGAUGACGAAAGUCCAAAGAUUUAUCGCCAGAGGAUGAGCCCGCGUAGGAUUAGCUAGUUGGUGUGGUAAAGGCGCACCAAGGCGACGAUCCUUAGCUGGUCUGAGAGGAUGAUCAGCCACACUGGGACUGAGACACGGCCCAGACUCCUACGGGAGGCAGCGGUGGGGAAUAUUGGACAAUGGGCGAAAGCCUGAUCCAGCAAUGCCGCGUGAGUGAUGAAGGCCUUAGGGUUGUAAAGCUCGUUUACCCGGGAUGAUAAUGACAGUACCGGGAGAAUAAGCUCCGGCUAACUCCGUGCCAGCCGCCGCUGUAA